GGGGGCGGAUCGGAGCUGGUGUUCCGACUGGUCUUCAAAACCAGCUGGCCCGGUUCGAACCCGGGUUGGUGGGUUCGAUUCCCACACGCUCCCGCCA
rnacentral:tRNA from 1 species